GAGUUUGAUCGUGGCUCAGGAUGAACGCUGGCGGCGUGCCUAACACAUGCAAGUCGAACGGAGAGAUAUGAGAGCUUGCUCUUGUAAAUCUUAGUGGCGAACGGGUGAGUAACACGUAGGUAACCUGCCCAUGUGCCCGGGAUAACUGCUGGAAACGGUAGCUAAAACCGGAUAGGUAUGAGGGAGGCAUCUUCCUCAUAUUAAAGCACCUUCGGGUGUGAACAUGGAUGGACCUGCGGCGCAUUAGCUGGUUGGUGAGGUAACGGCCCACCAAGGCGAUGAUGCGUAGCCGACCUGAGAGGGUGAACGGCCACAUUGGGACUGAGACACGGCCCAAACUCCUACGGGAGGCAGCAGUAGGGAAUUUUCGUCAAUGGGGGGAACCCUGAACGAGCAAUGCCGCGUGUGUGAAGAAGGUCUUCGGAUCGUAAAGCACUGUUGUAAGUGAAGAAUGCCAUAUAGAGGAAAUGCUAUGUGGGU
rnacentral:rRNA from 1 species